CCUACGGGAGGCAGCAGUGAGGAAUAUUGGUCAAUGGGCGCGAGCCUGAACCAGCCAAGUCGCGUGAGGGAAGACGGUCCUAUGGAUUGUAAACCUCUUUUGUCGGGGAGCAAAAGACGCCACGCGUGGCGUUCCGAGAGUACCCGAAGAAAAGCAUCGGCUAACUCGGUGCCAGCAUCCGCGGUAAUACGGAGGAUGGGAGCGUAAUCCGGAUUUAUGGGGGUUAAAGGGUGCGCAGGCGGAAGAUGAAGUCAGCGGUAAAAUUGAGAGGCUCAACCUCUUCGAGCCGUUGAACCUGGUUUUCUUGAGUGAGCGAGAGGGAUGUGGAAUGCGUGGUGUAGCGGUGAAAUGCAUAGAGAUCACGCAGAACUCCGAUUGCGAAGGCAGCAUACCGGCGAUAAACUGACGCUCAUGCACGAAAGUGUGGGUAUCGAACAGGAUUAGAUACCCUAGUAGUC
rnacentral:rRNA from 1 species